UGGAUGGCCGUAUACAGCUCACUCCAAGUAGUUUUACCAAUGCUUGAAGACACAUUGUCGGUACUGAGAUGCGACGAGAUCAAGUUAGCCUCUCUGAAAUCACGGCCAGAGGACGUUGAUCAACCACAGAUCAGGCUGAACAGGCUGCUAUGGCUGGAAGGUCUCCAUUAAAAAGACUAUCAUUUCACAGGUGGUGAAGCGCAAUGUGAUUGAGAAUAUUGUUCCGAUUCUGAUUGCUGUUAAGCAUAAGUUGGAGGAGCAAAAAUCGCCUCUCAUGAAGCAUCUACUCCUUUACUUGAAGGAACUUAUGAAGGACUACAAAAAUGAGGUAA